UUUCUUAUUACUGUCCCAUUUCUAACUGAGGGAAAUCAUUGUUCAACCUUUUCUCUGGCAUCAUUAUUCCCUUAUGCUAGGAAAGCGUUCCAGUCUGUGCUCUGUCUAGAGAGCAUUUCUGCUGGGUGCGAGCACGCACUUUACACGUGCCUUUUAGUAAACUGUACAUUCUGGGGAAGUAUUUGUCACAUAUGAAGAGUCUAGACUACCCAGAUGAGACCAUUACGUUGUCAUCUGGCCAUAACCCAAAACAAAUAUUAUCCCUCCCGUGACUACAUUAGACUAAUAUCACUAAGUCCUUAAAUACUCCCAAGCGUUCUUGUUUCCUCCUGGCUUGUGCCCUGUUCCAUCAGAGUGAAGCAGGCUCGUGCACUGUGCUGCAGCUCUGAUGAGGAAAUGGGCCAUUUGGUGGCAUUUCAGCCCAUUUGCUACACACAGAUGGGCAGAUGGAAUGCUGGCUGUGCACAUCGGCUUCACCCAAACCAGUCUGUGGUCACUCAUGCCAGGGACCUGCUGCAUUUUCACCUUUGGGGAGCUUAUGGUGUCCUUUGAAUCUUCGAACAUUCUUCAGGACUGAUAUUUAUGCCUGCUGGAGCCUGAGGAGCUGUUGGGUUGAUGAGAAUGACACAGGACACCAGAGCAAUCUGUUGGGGUUUGUGAUGGAGGCAUUUGGAAAAUGCUCACCUUCAGCUGCCCCAAGGUGCUGACUGAUGUUGGGAGAGCAGAGAGCAGAGCUGUCAGCUUCCUUGUAUACAAAGCUCUGUGUGUACCAGCAGUAUCUUUGCUGACCUCGUGGACUCUGCAGGAUGCAUUCAUUUCCUCUGAGAAAUUGCAAAAACACAUUGUUUGCAGUGGGACUUUCACGCAACGCGAAAUGUCCAACCCAAACAAAUGUGCUCCCAUUUAAAUACCUGGUGGGUCUGCUUCCUUCAGCCAUUCGCAGCACUGCUAAAUGGAAACCUGUGCAACAUCAGAAAGAUGCUUCCAAUUGCAGCAGGCUCCCUGUUUUCGGUCUCGUGAUUGCAUUUGGUCUUGGAAAACGCUGAGAUGAGGCUUCUGACAGCAAGUGACCCUGUUUUGCCAUAGACCAAUGCCAGCCAACUUCAUCACCAUGUGUGGGGUUUUCUGCUUAUCUGCACACACAAGGCUCUGCCCUCUGCCACCUGAUCACAGGGUCAGGAGAACGAAUGAGAUGGUCCUUCUGUCUCUGCAAAAUCACCACUGAAAUCCCAGCUCGGUUGCAAAGAGUGGCAAAACCUGCGUUAAAAUCACUGGAAGC
rnacentral:lncRNA from 1 species